CCGUGGAGGAGGACGGACCUCACGGAGCGGUGCCACUGGCCCUUUAAAUCUCGAGGGAGGGGGAGGAUGGUGCUGCGGCUGUCCGAGGACCAAAUUCUGGCUUCCAUAAGGGUACAUGAGGGGAAAAAAAAGAGAGUGAAGCAAAGGGAGAUGAGGAAGGCAUGCCAAAUAUAGAAGUCACACCUACAUAUAGUGGACCAGGGCUGAACUUGGAUUUGGCACUUCUGAUUUCAAGGCUGCUGAGAAGGAAACAGACUCUUUACUGUUAGUAGCAAAUAAAUAAAUAAAUAAACACACUUCUCAAAAGCC